rnacentral:rRNA from 1 species
UACAGAGGUCCCAAGCGUUGUUCGGAUUCACUGGGCGUAAAGGGUGCGCAGGUGGUUUGGCAAGUUUGACGUGAAAGCCCCGGGCUUAACCCGGGAAUGGCGUUGAAAACUGCUUGAACUGGAGGGUCGGAGGGGGGACUGGAAUUCUUGGUGUAGCAGUGAAAUGCGUAGAUAUCAAGAGGAACACCAGUGGCGAAGGCGAGUCCCUGGACGACACCUGACACUGAGGCACGGAAGCCAAGGGAGCAAACAGG